rnacentral:rRNA from 1 species
UACGGAAGGGGGCUAGCGUUGCUCGGAAUCGACUGGGCGUAAAGGGUGCGUAGGCGGGUCUUAAGGUCAGGGUGAAAUCCGUGGGGCUCAACCUCAGAAUUGCCUCCGAUACUGGCAGUCUCGAGUGCGGGAGAGGUGAGUGGAAUUCCCAGUGUAGAGGUGAAAUUCGUAGAUAUUGGGAAGAACACCAGUGGCGAAGGCGGCUCACUGGCCCGUAACUGACGCUGAGGUGCGAAAGCGUGGGGAGCGAACAGG